AUUGAACGCUGGCGGCAGGCCUAACACAUGCAAGUCGAACGAGUGGCGGACGGGUGAGUACUGUCUGGGAAACUGCCUGAUGGAGGGGGAUAACUACUGGAAACGGUAGCUAAUACCGCAUACCAUCGGAUGUGCCCAGAUGGGUGUAGCUAGUAUGUGGGGUAAAGGCUCACCUAGGCUACGAUCCCUAGCUGGUCUGAGAGGAUGACCAGCCACACUGGAACUGAGACACGGUCCAGACUCCCACGGGAGGCAGCGUGGGGGAAUAUUGCACAAUGGUCGCAAGCCUGAUGCAGCCAUGCCGUGUGUAUGAAGAAGGCCUUCGGGUUGUAAAGUAGUUUCAGCGGGGAGGCGUUACCCGCAGAAGAAGCUCCGGCUAACUCCGUGCCAGCAGCCGCGGUAAUAC
rnacentral:rRNA from 1 species